rnacentral:lncRNA from 1 species
CGUCCCGCGCUUCGUCCAGGCGUACCGCCUCGAUUGCCCCGCCGCGCUCAAUCGCCUCCUCCAGUCGGGCGUCCCGGCUACCGUCGAGCUCCGCGCCGCCUCCGCCUCAUCCGCGCCGGCCGCCACCGCCACCUCCGCCGCAGCCAUCGCGCACUGUGUGCAGACCUUCAUCACCGCCAUGGACGCCGUCAAGCUCAACAUGCUUGCCAACGACCAGGUCCGCCCCCUGCUG